rnacentral:other from 1 species
UUAUUUCUGAAAUAUUUGUGAAGCUCUUAUUUUGAACCUACAUUACUUAAAAGGGAGUUCAACAUUUAGAUGUGAAUUGACUCAUAAGUCCAACGUAAAUGGCAAGGUCUAUAAAGCAUCUGUGAGGACACCCACCUAUCGGAGAGAUAGGUGUCAAAAUUAGGGCAGCGGUAUUUUGGAUACUUU